ACAAAGUUCUCCCCGGCAAACGUCCGCAGGCGGCUCUGGGGCCGGAAGAACGCCGGCGGCUCGUUGACUGGAGACAGAGGAACAAAACUGCGGUUAAACGACAGGUCAGGGCAUGCUGGGAAAUUUAAAGCUCCGCUCCUUUGAUCUGCUAAUGGGGACAAACAGGAGCACAGCUGGAUGGCUACCACAACCAGGUGAAUUUGGAUGUGUCCGGGUCACAGAGGAGGCAGGGGCUGCUGGGGCUGGAGACUCCGUCUGCGAAACACAUCCCCUCG